CAAGGCUAAAUACUUGCACGAGUCCGAUAGCGAACAAGUACCGUGAGGGAAAGUUGAAAAGUACUUUGAAGAGAGAGUAAACAGUGCGUGAAACCGCUCAGAGGUAAACGGGUGGAGUUGAACUGCAAGCUCUGAGGAUUCAGCUGGUGAGUUUGGCAUGAGCUUGGUCAUGUGGGUUGUGUGUUCGGGUCUGCUUAGCUGCAGGUCCUCGCCUUUGGUGGGGAUGCGCGUAUCGCUUAUCAAGCGUUGUGCGCCCGUUCUUCUCGGACCUGCUCGCCAGUGCACUUUCUCAGAGUGUUCACCACGACCGGCGUUGUCGUCUGGCUGGUGCGGUUAAACCGGCCUUGUAGGGUCCUUGUGGCCUUGCCUGGUCGGGAUGGCAGGUAGCCCGUUGUGUACUUCGGUGUGCUUCGGGUGUAAUAGCCGACUGCAUCGGUUCUGUGCGAUACGUCGGAGACGGCGGCUUGUUGUGCGUGCGGGCGUGCCUGUUGCGCUGGCGGCUCUGGGUCUGGUUGCCUUGUUGCUUGUAAAUGCAAGCCAGGUGAUGGCCUGGGGUCGUUUGGUGUGCGGUUGCGUUCGUGGCACUUUAAAGGGCCUACAGUCUGUGGUGUAGUGGUAGACUAUCCACCUGACCCGUCUUGAAACACGGACCAAGGAGAGUAACAUGUGCSCGAGUCAUUGGGCGUUACGAAACCCAAAGGCGAAGUGAAAGUAAAGGUU
rnacentral:rRNA from 1 species